UUGCCAGUAUCUUUUUAAGAGCUGGACUUAAAAGACAAGGUAAAUGAUUUUAUAAUAUCGACUGGUAUCCGAAAGGAACUAGAGCGGAGG
rfam:Clostridium ultunense Esp genomic scaffold, CTLT_3033